rnacentral:rRNA from 1 species
UAAAGAUAAUAAGGGCGUACGGUGGAUGCCUUGGCGAUAUCAGCCGAAGAAGGACGCGGUAAGCUGCGAUAAGCUACGGAGAGGUGCAAGCAACCUGUGACCCGUAGAUAUCCGAAUGGGGGAACCCGGCAGUGGUUAUGCACUGUCACCCAUACCUUUGAGUAUGAGGAGGGCACCUGGGGAACUGAAACAUCUAAUUACCCGGAGGAACAGUAAUCAAACGAGAUUUUCUUAGUAGCGGCGAGCGAACGGGAAAGAGGCCAAACCGGAGCGGGCAACCGCACCGGGGUUGAGGACAGUCAUCAAGUGUAAAUGAGGUAGAAGAAUCGAGCUGGAAAGCUCAGCCGCAGAAGGUGAAAGCCCUGUAAUCGAAACCUUGCAUACAUGGGACUGUAUCCAGAGUACCACGAGACACGUGAAACCUUGUGGGAAGCAGGGGGGACCACCCUCCAAGCCAAAAUACUGAUAUCGACCGAUAGCGCAUAGUACCGUGAGGGAAAGGUGAAAAGAACCCCUGGCGGGGAGUGAAAGAGAACCUGAAACCGUAUGUCUACAAACAGUCGAAGUCUGUAUAUAUAUCAGGACGACGGCGUGCCUAUUGAAGAAUGAACCGACGAGUUACUGUUGCUAGCGAGGUUAAGUGGAAAACAUGGAGCCGCAGCGAAAGCGAGUCUGAACAGGGCGUUCAGUUAGUAAUAGUAGACCCGAAACCGUAGUGAUCUAUCCAUGGCCAGGUUGAAGCACAGGUAAAAUUGUGUGGAGGACCGAACUCGUGAGCGUUGAAAAGCUUUGGGAUGAGUUGUGGAUAGGGGUGAAAUGCCAAUCGAACACGGAGAUAGCUGGUUCUCCCCGAAAUAGCUUUAGGGCUAGCCUCGAGGUAGAGAGUAUAGGCGGUAGAGCACUGAUCGGGCUAGGGGCCAUACCGGUUACCGAACCUAGUCAAACUACGAAUGGCUAUACUUAUACUCGGGAGUCAGACAGUGAAUGAUAAGGUCCAUUGUCAAGAGGGAAACAGCCCAGAACACCGACUAAGGUCCCCAAUGUUACACUAAGUGGCGAAGGAUGUGGAAUUUCCAAAACAACCAGGAUGUUGGCUUAGAAGCAGCCACCAUUUAAAGAGUGCGUAAUAGCUCACUGGUCGAGAGACUCUGCGCCGAAAAUGUCCGGGGCUAAAGUGUAAAACCGAAGUCGUGUCAUAUGCAGCAAUGUAUAUGGGUAGGGGAGCGUUCUCAUCGGGCUGAAGCAGUACCGUAAGGAGUUGUGGACUGAUGAGAAGUGAGAAUGUCGGUAUGAGUAGCGAAAAGAAUGGUGAGAAUCCAUUCCACCGAAAGCCUAAGGGUUCCUGAGCAACGAUCGUCGUCUCAGGGUAAGUCGGGACCUAAGCCGAGGCGGAAAAGCGUAGGCGAUGGACAACAGGUUGAAAUUCCUGUACCGGUGUGAAUCGUUUGAUCGAUGGAGUGACACAGUAAGGUAGGUCAGCACGCGAUUGGAAGAGCGUGUUUAAGCAGGUAGGUUGAGCUAUAGGCAAAUCCGUAGCUCUAAAAGCUGAGAUGUGAUGACGAGUGACUAGCAAUAGUCGCGAAGUGAUUGAUCCUACACUGUCGAGAAAAGCUUCUAGGUAGAGACACAUCGCCCGUACCAAAACCGACACAGGUAGGCGGGGAGAGAAUCCUAAGGUGCGCGGGAAAACCCUCGUUAAGGAACUCGGCAAAAUGCCUCCGUAACUUCGGGAAAAGGAGGACUCAUGUAGUGUGAAGAGCAGAAGCGCUUGGAGCAUGAAUGAGUGGCACAAGAGAGGCGCAAGCGACUGUUUACCACAAACACAGGUGCCUGCUAAAGCGAAAGCUGAUGUAUAGGUGCUGACACCUGCCCGGUGCUGGAAGGUUAAGAGGAGGGGUUAGACUUCGGUCGAAGCUCUGAAUUGAAGCCCCAGUAAACGGCGGCCGUAACUAUAACGGUCCUAAGGUAGCGAAAUUCCUUGUCGGGUAAGUUCCGACCCGCACGAAAGGUGUAACGACUUGCGCACUGUCUCAACGAGGGACCCGGUGAAAUUGAAGUACCUGUGAAGAUGCAGGUUACCCGCGACUGGACAGAAAGACCCCAUGGAGCUUUACUGCAACCUAAGAUUGAACUUAGUUAAUGAAUGUACAGGAUAGGU